rfam:Triticum aestivum genome assembly, contig: Triticum_aestivum_CS42_TGACv1_scaffold_196209_3AL
UUUAUACUCCCUCCGCGCGAAAAUACUUGUCAUCAAAAUAGAUAAAAAGGGAUGUAUUUAGAACUAAAAUACGUCUAGAUACAUCCCCUUUUGUUCAUUUUGAUGACAAGUAUUUCCAGACGGAGGGAGUAGUAA